CACAGCCAGCGUCUCGCCAGCCCUUCAGCCGCGUUUCUCUUCCUCCCUCGACUCUCCACGGCGCCCGUGUUCCCUCCUCCUGCCACCUAGGCCAGCGCCUGCAGGUGGAGGGCCGGUCUUACCCCUGGCUAUCAGACAACUGGGCUCGGGCGGAUGCCCGUCUCCCCUGCUAAAAUCCAGAAGAACUGGAGACAAUGCCCUCCAUGCAGCUGAAACUUGCCGGCUUCCUUAUCAGCCUCUCAGCCCUGGAGCAGCUAGCCAGGGUUGACGCAUCAACGUAGGUCGAUUGGAGUUGGAUUACAAAUGGCACUUCUGGGAGAGGAGGUGGUGGACUCUGUAUCUGAAGGCACACCCUGCAGACAGGGAUGGACCCAGAAGCAAGCAUGCCUGCCACGCACUCAGUCCUCAGGCAGAUACCUCGGUGUGUCCUACCCGCAGAUAAGAAUCCGGCUCAGAGACCUUUCUGAAGGGGCUGCAACACCCCCGGGAAAUUGUCCCAGGAGUGUGACUCGGGAAGACGAGUACAUGAAGCAUCUUCUGCUUUACUGGAAGAGUCAGUGGCAACUAGGACAUGUCCAUGUGGGCAGCGACACACUGAUUUUGGCAGGGAAUCUUGAUGCACCAAAUAACCGAAGAACUGGGGUUCUUUCCGAAGUCUAGGUAAUAUUUCCAGAAAUGCCAGCCACUUACAUCUUUAGCCUCAAUGGCUAGAGUAUUACUGAUGAAAGAAUAUUUGUCUUUUCUCUCUCUCUCUUUUGUUUUUUGGUGAAUUGAAGGGAUAACUGUGUUGAUGCUACAUUUUUUAACCACAUAACUGUAGAGUAGCUGCUGCCUUUGUUGACUACAUAUUAACACAUCUGUUCAUUUUAGCAGAGUUAAUUUCUAUAGAAUAACGAAUACUUGUUUAAACAUUUUGGGCAAAAUGGUGCACAUUCAUGAAUCACUGACAGCUGCGCACACUGCGUUUUCUUGGUUCUAAGACACACAUUUUGUUCCAUCAUCUUCGGAAUCUAAGUACACCGUUACCCUCGGUGACAGCUCACAGCUCUAAGUGGCAGAGUUUUCCAUGCGUAGUGGCACAUGAGAUAAAGACGCGUCUCACUGUCAGAGGCAUCUCAGGCUGGUGGAAAAGAAAAAGUGCGCGCGUGUGUUCGUAACCUGUGGAUAAUUUCUUGUCCACGUGGUCUGGGCUGAAGAGAAGUCACAUCAAGGAUCGUCUAGUCUUCCAUGAUACUUCCUUACAGAGGGAUUACAAGUUUCACACCCAAACUUCAGCAUGGCUCUCUUUAUUCUAGAAAGUCUUGUAUUUAAAAUAGCUGGUUCUCACUAGAUCACAAUACGCAUUUGACAGAGGAGUCCUAUUGCCUUGGACCAGAGGUGGUCCAA
rnacentral:lncRNA from 1 species